CUGGCGGCGUGCUUAACACAUGCAAGUCGAGCGAUGAAGCUCCUUCGGGAGUGGAUUAGCGGCGGACGGGUGAGUAACACGUGGGCAACCUGCCUUGUAGAGAGGAAUAGCCAUUCGAAAGGAUGAUUAAUACCUCAUAAUAUUGUAGCUUCGCAUGAAGCAACAACCAAAGGAGCAAUCCACUACAAGAUGGGCCCGCGGCGCAUUAGCUAGUUGGUGGGGUAACGGCUCACCAAGGCGACGGUGCGUAGCCGACCUGAGAGGGUGAUCGGCCACAUUGGGACUGAGACGCGGCCCAGACUCCUACGGGAGGCAGCAGUGGGGAAUAUUGCACAAUGGGGGAAACCCUGAUGCAAGCAACGCCGCGUGAGUGAUGACGGUCUUCGGAUUGUAAAGCUCUGUCUUCAGGGACGAUAAUGACGGUACCUGAGGAGGAAGCCACGGCUAACUACGUGCCAGCCGCCGC
rnacentral:rRNA from 1 species